AUUGAACGCUGGCGGCAGGCUUAACACAUGCAGGUCGAGCGGAGAUGAGGUGCUUGCACCUUAUCUUAGCGGCGGACGGGUGAGUAAUGCUUAGGAAUCUGCCUAUUAGUGGGGGACAACAUUCCGAAAGGAAUGCUAAUACCGCAUACGUCCUACGGGAGAAAGCAGGGGAUCUUCGGACCUUGCGCUAAUAGAUGAGCCUAAGUCGGAUUAGCUAGUUGGUGGGGUAAAGGCCUACCAAGGCGACGAUCUGUAGCGGGUCUGAGAGGAUGAGCCGCCACACUGGGACGGAGACACGGCCCAGACUCCUACGGGAGGCAGCAGUGGGGAAUAUUGGACAAUGGGGGGAACCCUGAUCCAGCCAUGCCGCGUGUGUGAAGAAGGCCUUAUGGUUGUAAAGCACUUUAAGCGAGGAGGAGGCUACUGAGACUAAUACUCUUGGAUAGUGGACGUUACUCGCAGAAUAAGCACCGGCUAACUCUGUGCCAGCCGCCGCGGUAACAC
rnacentral:rRNA from 1 species